rnacentral:rRNA from 1 species
UACGUAGGGCGCAAGCGUUAUCCGGAAUUAUUGGGCGUAAAGAGCUCGUAGGCGGUUUGUCGCGUCUGCCGUGAAAGUCCGAGGCUCAACUUCGGAUCUGCGGUGGGUACGGGCAGACUAGAGUGAUGUAGGGGAGACUGGAAUUCCUGGUGUAGCGGUGAAAUGCGCAGAUAUCAGGAGGAACACCGAUGGCGAAGGCAGGUCUCUGGGCAUCUACUGACGCUGAGGAGCGAAAGCAUGGGGAGCGAAUGAGAU